rnacentral:rRNA from 1 species
CGGUUAUACAAAAAAUAAUUUAAAUUUUAUUAGUAAAUAAUAAAUAUUAAUAUAAAUGAAAUUAAAUAUUAAUUUAUUAGGUGAAAUUUUAAUUUAAUUAAAAUUUUAUUUUGUAAUAUGAUUUAUUAAAUUUUAUAAAAAACUAGAAUUAGAUACUCUAUUAUUAAAAAUUAAAUAAAUAAUACUAAAAUAGUAUGUAAUUAUUUAUAGAAACUUAAAUAAUUUGGCGGUAUUUUAGUUCAUUUAGAGGAAUCUGUUUAAUAAUUGAUAAUCCACGAAUAAAUUUACUUAAUUUAAAAAUUUUGUAUAUCGUUGUUAAAAAAAUAUUUUUUAAUAAAAAUAAUAUUUAAGAAUUUUUAUAAUAAAUUAAUUCAGAUCAAGAUGCAGAUUAUAAUUAAGAAUAUAAUGGAUUACAAUAAGAAAUGAUUAAAUGAAUAAUAUAUUUUAAUAUAUAUUUGAAGGUGGAUUUAAAUGUAAUUUUAUUUAAUUUAUUAAAAUGAUUAAAAAUUGAAAUAUGUACAUAUUGCCCGUCGCUUUCAUUAAUAAAUUGAAAUAAGUCGUAACAAAGUAGAUGUACUGGAAAGUGUUUCUAGAAAGA